CAGUACCAUCAGCAACAGUAUCAACUGCAGUACCACCAGCAACAAUAUCUGCAGGACCAUCAGGUAAUCUGAUUUGCAUGCUUAUGCAGUUUUAUGGGUGUUAUGUGUAUUUGUGUAGGUAUAUAUGAAAUUUAAACAUUGCGUAUCCUUAUUUUUACAUUACUUUAUUAUUAUUUUUUUUUUUUGUCAUAACUUUUUUUUUUAAGUCUAAAUAGUUUUAAAUAAUAUUUUUAUUGGUUGUUUGUGCAGUAUUGUAUUCAAAUUUAUUUCUUUUUUUGCUUUUGUUUUUUAGCAUUGCAUCAAGAUUUCCUGCGAUAUUGCUCCCAGCACCCAGGUCCGAUAUCUCAAAGGGCUUUCUACCGGUGGUGUCAAUAUGGGGGAGAUGAUCCCUCCUUUAGAUGGAGAAGACAAGCCCCAUAUGACACCAUUGGUAGAAGGAGGGGUGCUGGGAAGCAGUUCAACUCUUUUAUUUUCUACCAGUAGCUUUUUUAAGCUACUGGUAGAAUUAUCUUUAUCUUUAAAUAUAAAGAAAAUAGACUUUUUAAAAAAAUGUUUUUUU
rnacentral:lncRNA from 1 species